rnacentral:rRNA from 1 species
AUGCUCGCGGACGGCAUCGACGGGCCCAUGCAUGCUGAUCUACCCCAUGCUCAAGAGGCGCUGCUGCGGUUCUGCCCGGCGGGCGGGCGGCGCGGCGGUGGAGGAGUUGGUGGCGCAGAACGGCACCAUUGCCAAUGCCUGCCGGACCAGCGGCUACGUCUUCAAGACCUACUUCCCGCACUACCGCACGGAGGCGGACUGGGCGCGCCACUUCGGCGCCAAGUGGGCCCGCUUCGUCGACCGCAAGGCCCGCUACGACCCGCUGGCGAUCCUCGCCCCGGGCCAGAAGAUCUUUGCCAGGACCCCCUCCUCCUGCCGAACCGACCGAUCAUAGCUGCUGUUGGCGGUGAUGAUGGCGGCGGUGAUGAUGAUGAUGAUGAUGAAGAUCUCGACGAUCGACAAGGGGGCGACGACGACGACGAUGGUGAUUAUAGGGUCAUUAUUCAUUAG